UUUCUAAAUAAAUGCGACAAGUGAAUUACUAGUAGCAGAUUGCUUCAGCGCAUACAAACUUCUAGCUGUUGGUUUUUUUGUUUUAUUCAAAAUUUUGUUUUCUUUUAGCAUAUUCUUAAACAAUUUUCUCACCGACUCAUUCUCAUACAUUGUCAAUUACGACAAUUAGAAGACAGAAUAAGAGUUCUGCUAUAAUCUUUGCUUAUUAUCCAUUUCUAUCUAAACAUAGGUAUAAAUGGGUAAACCUCAUUUUUCACUCUCCCACUACAUUUUAGUUCCUCACCUUUUAGGUUAUAUAACUUCUAGCUCC
rnacentral:lncRNA from 1 species